rnacentral:rRNA from 1 species
ACUCCUGCGGGAGGCAGCAGUGGGGAAUAUUGCACAAUGGGCGCAAGCCUGAUGCAGCCAUGCCGCGUGUAUGAAGAAGGCCUUCGGGUUGUAAAGUACUUUCAGCGGGGAGGAAGGCGAUAAGGUUAAUAACCUUGUUGAUUGACGUUACCCGCAGAAGAAGCACCGGCUAACUCCGUGCCAGCAGCCGCGGUAAUACGGAGGGUGCAAGCGUUAAUCGGAAUUACUGGGCGUAAAGCGCACGCAGGCGGUCUGUCAAGUCGGAUGUGAAAUCCCCGGGCUCAACCUGGGAACUGCAUUCGAAACUGGCAGGCUAGAGUCUUGUAGAGGGGGGUAGAAUUCCAGGUGGAGCGGUGAAAUGCGUAGAGAUCUGGAGGAAUACCGGUGGCGAAGGCGGCCCCCUGGACAAAGACUGACGCUCAGGUGCGAAAGCGUGGGGAGCAAACAGGAUUAGAUACCCCAGUAGUCCC